rnacentral:rRNA from 2 species
GGGGGAUAACACCUGGAAACAGAUGCUAAUACCGCAUAACAACUUGGACCGCAUGGUCCGAGUUUGAAAGAUGGCUUCGGCUAUCACUUUUGGAUGGUCCCGCGGCGUAUUAGCUAGAUGGUGAGGUAACGGCUCACCAUGGCAAUGAUACGUAGCCGACCUGAGAGGGUAAUCGGCCACAUUGGGACUGAGACACGGCCCAAACUCCUACGGGAGGCAGCAGUAGGGAAUCUUCCACAAUGGACGAAAGUCUGAUGGAGCAACGCCGCGUGAGUGAAGAAGGGUUUCGGCUCGUAAAACUCUGUUGUUAAAGAAGAACAUAUCUGAGAGUAACUGUUCAGGUAUUGACGGUAUUUAACCAGAAAGCCACGGCUAACUACGUGCCAGCAGCCGCGGUAAUACGUAGGUGGCAAGCGUUGUCCGGAUUUAUUGGGCGUAAAGCGAGCGCAGGCGGUUUUUUAAGUCUGAUGUGAAAGCCUUCGGCUCAACCGAAGAAGUGCAUCGGAAACUGGGAAACUUGAGUGCAGAAGAGGACAGUGGAACUCCAUGUGUAGCGGUGAAAUGCGUAGAUAUAUGGAAGAACACCAGUGGCGAAGGCGGCUGUCUGGUCUGUAACUGACGCUGAGGCUCGAAAGUAUGGGUAGCAAACAGGAUUAGAUACCCUGGUAGUCCAUACCGUAAACGAUGAAUGCUAAGUGUUGGAGGGUUUCCGCCCUUCAGUGCUGCAGCUAACGCAUUAAGCAUUCCGCCUGGGGAGUACGGCCGCAAGGCUGAAACUCAAAGGAAUUGACGGGGGCCCGCACAAGCGGUGGAGCAUGUGGUUUAAUUCGAAGCUACGCGAAGAACCUUACCAGGUCUUGACAUACUAUGCAAAUCUAAGAGAUUAGACGUUCCCUUCGGGGACAUGGAUACAGGUGGUGCAUGGUUGUCGUCAGCUCGUGUCGUGAGAUGUUGGGUUAAGUCCCGCAACGAGCGCAACCCUUAUUAUCAGUUGCCAGCAUUAAGUUGGGCACUCUGGUGAGACUGCCGGUGACAAACCGGAGGAAGGUGGGGAUGACGUCAAAUCAUCAUGCCCCUUAUGACCUGGGCUACACACGUGCUACAAUGGAUGGUACAACGAGUUGCGAACUCGCGAGAGUAAGCUAAUCUCUUAAAGCCAUUCUCAGUUCGGAUUGUAGGCUGCAACUCGCCUACAUGAAGUCGGAAUCGCUAGUAAUCGCGGAUCAG